UCAUGACCGGUAAUCCGCAUAUAGCAUCAACUUGCUUUCUACGAUCCCACGUCGCGCGUCCGCCGCAACCUGACGUCCAAGAUGUUUCAUCCCUCGGAUCAAAUCCUUGUCGGGGAAUCCGGAAGUGGGGUUUAGGCGUGCUUCUCAAAACCUCAAAACUGACUCAGAAUCUGGCAAUUCCAUUAAGGUCGUUACCAUCUCCAAUGUGACAUGUUCUGCUUGCUAGUAUCCAUGGGUUUCGGUGAAGGUUUAGCUGACAAGCAAAUGAAGGACAUCGAAUAUGUUCGGCGACGAACAAUGGUGAACUCCAACAGGAGUGAGAAAGAAAGCCAAGGUAGAGAGGUUGAUAAAAGCCAUAGUGUGCCUUGAGGAAGACGAAGUUACAGUGCAAUAUGCGGAUACUUAUGCUGGAUUUGCAGUUGCCUGAGGAGAAGCGCGAGCUUGAUGAAUCUGAACAUGUCAUCUUAUGUUCUGAAUUUCUGAAUGCAGGGACGGAUACAACAGCUACCGCGCUGCAAUGGAUUUUGGCAAACAAAGGGUUGUGGAUGAAAUAAGAGAUGUGAUGGGUGAGAGAGAGGACAAGGAAGUGAAAGAGGAAGACUUGCAGAGACUUCCAUAUCUCAAGGCUGUGAUUCUGGAAGGACUGAGGCGUCAUCCACCUGCACACUUUCUGUUGCCACAUGCAGUGUCAGAGGGCGUGUUUCUGAAUAAUUACUCGGUUCCUAGAAGUGGAAUCAUAAAUUUUAUGUUGCAGAGAUGGGACGAGCUAUCCAAAUGUGUGGGAAGAUACAAUUGAAUUCAAGCCAGAAAGGUUCUUGUGGUUUGAGAAGAUUUAUGGAGGUGAAGAAUAUAAUUUGACAUAACGGGAAGCAAGGAGAUUAAGAUGAUGCCACUUGGGGGUGAGAGGAGAAUCUAUCCUGGUUAUAAUCUGGCAUUGCUCCACCUUGAAUACUUUGAGGCCAAUCUCAUUUGGAAUUUUGAGUGGAAGGCUUAAAGUUCGAACAGUGAUGUAGAAUUUUCAGAGAAACAGGAGUUCACCACGGUGAUGAAAUCUCCAUUGCAGGUCUAUCUAUCUCCUAGGCUCUAGGUGAUGGAACAUGAAAUAAUAAUUGUUAAUUGAGAUAUUA